rnacentral:tRNA from 1 species
UCCCUGGUGGUCUGGUGGCUAGGACUCUGUGCUUCCAAUGCAGGGGGCCUGGGUUUGUAUCCUGGUUGGGGAA